AGGACGAACGCUGGCGGCGUGCUUAACACAUGCAAGUCGAGCGGAAAGGCCCUUCGGGGUACUCGAGCGGCGAACGGGUGAGUAACACGUGAGCAACCUGCCCUUAGCUCCGGGAUAGCUCCGGGAAACCGGAAUUAAUACCGGAUACGACCACGGCCGACAUCUGCUGUGGUGGAAAGGAUUCCGGCUAAGGAUGGGCUCGCGGCCUAUCAGCUAGUUGGUGGGGUAAUGGCCCACCAAGGCGACGACGGGUAGCCGGCCUGAGAGGGCGACCGGCCACACUGGGACUGAGACACGGCCCAGACUCCUACGGGAGGCAGCAGUGGGGAAUAUUGCGCAAUGGGCGAAAGCCUGACGCAGCGACGCCGCGUGGGGAUGAAGGCCUUCGGGUUGUAAACCCCUUUCAGCAGGGACGAAGCGAAAGUGACGGUACCUGCAGAAGAAGCGCCGGCUAACUACGUGCCAGCAGCCGC
rnacentral:rRNA from 1 species